rnacentral:rRNA from 1 species
GACGAACGCUGGCGGCGUGCCUAAUACAUGCAAGUAGAACGCUGAAGGAGGAGCUUGCUUCUCUGGAUGAGUUGCGAACGGGUGAGUAACGCGUAGGUAACCUGCCUGGUAGCGGGGGAUAACUAUUGGAAACGAUAGCUAAUACCGCAUAAUAGCAGUUAUUGCAUGAUAACUGUUUGAAAGGUGCAAUUGCACCACUACCAGAUGGACCUGCGUUGUAUUAGCUAGUUGGUGGGGUAACGGCUCACCAAGGCGACGAUACAUAGCCGACCUGAGAGGGUGAUCGGCCACACUGGGACUGAGACACGGCCCAGACUCCUACGGGAGGCAGCAGUAGGGAAUCUUCGGCAAUGGACGGAAGUCUGACCGAGCAACGCCGCGUGAGUGAAGAAGGUUGUCGGAUCGUAAAGCUCUGUUGUAAGAGAAGAACGAGUGUGAGAGUGGAAAGUUCACACUGUGACGGUAUCUUACCAGAAAGGGACGGCUAACUACGUG